rnacentral:rRNA from 1 species
UGCAGGAAGAAGGCCUUCGGGUUGUAAACUGCUUUUGUACGGAACGAAACGGCUCUGGUUAAUACCCGUGGGGGAUGACGGUACCGGAAGAAUAAGCACCGGCUAACUACGUGCCAGCAGCCGCGGUAAUACGUAGGGUGCAAGCGUUAAUCGGAAUUACUGGGCGUAAAGCGUGCGCAGGCGGUUCGCUAAGACAGAUGUGAAAUCCCCGGGCUUAACCUGGGAACUGCAUUUGUGACUGGCGGGCUAGAGUAUGGCAGAGGGGGGUAGAAUUCCACGUGUAGCAGUGAAAUGCGUAGAGAUGUGGAGGAAUACCGAUGGCGAAGGCAGCCCCCUGGGCCAAUACUGACGCUCAUGCACGAAAGCGUGGGGAGCAAACAGGAUUAGAUACCCUGGUAGUCCACGCCCUAAACGA